UUGGUUGUUUUUGUGACGUACGUACUUUAGUAGUCCACAAGAUAGGUACACCACAGUAAAUGGCAGUGAGAACCACCCCACAUUGCCCCAUCAAUGUAGCUCAGUCCUGACCUGGAGGGACCAGGUUUAAGUAUGAGGGACAUUCAUUCCCUAUGACCACUUAAUAUUUGACCUCA
rnacentral:sRNA from 1 species